GCCAGCGUAGCUCAGUUGGUAGAGCAGCGCAUUCGUAAUGCGCAGGUCACCGGUUCAACUCCGGUCGCUGGCU
rnacentral:tRNA from 2 species